GCGGGGCUUGGGGGAACUCUUGUCACUGCCAGGAGCAGGAGACAGUCACAUACACAGCUCGGGCGAGAAGAGGCGAGACCCGGACCAUCCCAGGGCCAACGGAGAGAUAGGGGAAGAGAGAGACGAGGGACCGAGAGAGGGGAAAGGCAGAGGGCCGACGGCCCGGGCCCCGGGGCCCGAGAGCCCCUGCCAGUGUCAGGACAGUUUGGAUGUGAGGACGGGGUGCUCAUCUUGCCAGUUCCCUGAGAACUUGGACUGUUUACCCCAUCAGGGUCCGCGUGAGGCUCAGCCCCUUCAUCUUUCUGUCUGAUCAGGCCUGUUUCCCUGGCAACUGGGCAAGGCCCCAGGAAUCCUGGCUGGGGGUGGGGAAUUCCGAUACCAUCAUUCUAUACCCUCUGCUCACUCGAGCACCUGGGCCUGAUCUAGGUUGGGGGGUGGGGAACCCUCUUGCAGCUUCCCAGGCUCUGCUCCCUUCCUGGGUAGGGAAGGAGAGAAAGGCAUUCGGAGCCCUUUCCCCAAGGCCAGAAUGGAGGAGUUGUCCCGCCCGUCCUUGGGGAAGAGUCCUGCAAGGCUCUGGGAAGGGGAACUCAAUGUCUGGUUUCUGGACUUUGGUCCAAGGGCACAGACUUUUCAGAUACCAAGGACAGGGAAAUGGACGGGGAAGAGUGAUCUGUCCAGCAGGGAUGGGAGUCUGAGCAAUCAGCAGGCCUGGAAAUAGAAGUCUGCCAGGCUGUGGGUGUGGAGGACUCUUUCUACCUAAAGUUCCCCCUCCCUCGCCGGGAAGGAGUGGGCAAGAGCAGGUCCCCAGAGACAGUAUAAUAGGAAGCCCUAGGAUAAAUAACAGGGCGAAAAUGGAGCCAAGCAGAACAUGAGUGGAGCAGGGACUUUGCCCCUUGGAUGCCAAUAUGGGAGGGUGCAAGGGCCCAAGGAAGGGAUUUCUUUCUUCUCCACAAGCCCCGCCACCACUGAUGUUCCGGGGAACUGGUCGAACUCUGCUAACCCAAGUGCAUCCUCACUGGUCCUGUCCUAUGGACUUCAGGCUCCAAAAGAACUUGGUUUCAGGGGCCACCUGUAAGUAGCCAACCCAGCCCCAGACAGCUCCAGCCAAGUUUCGCUCUGCUUCCAAAUAACCGCACACAGCCGAGCCCAGUGGUUCUCAGCCCUAAUGCCAACCACCGCCGUGCCCGGUUGCCUGCAGUUACCUUUGCCCACCCCCCUAAGCCCCCUCUGUGCCAAGAAGCAGUCAGGGCCCCGAAGCUGGCCUAGAAUCCGCCCUGGCUCGAAGUGAGUGAAAGUGCAUCUUUCCUCCCAGAGGUCUCACCUCUAGGAUAAAGUGGGCCUCAGGCUUCUCUCUACUUAGCCCUUCCCUCUCCCAGAGGACAAGGUUAAUAUGGGCUUGGACCCCGGGCGGGGCCAGAGAGAUCCCCUCCCCCUGAUGACCUUUUCAGCAGCAGCUGCACCAUCCCACACUAAAUUUAACCCCAGCCCGCCCAUCGGGCCCUCCCUCCCCACCACCCAAGCCCAAUCAGGGGCUAUGCCCUUUGUUAAGUGCCCCUACCUCCCCGAAGAAGGGGAAAUCGGGAGAAGAGGAAAGGUAGACCCAAGCCAGGUAAGUGGAGAUAAUGAGUACGAGCUGGUCCCGGCCAAACCCAUCCACACAAGAUGGGGAAGGAGACAAGAGUGGGCUGGGCGCGUUCCUUAGGGCUGGGGGAGGAAGGUGGUCACCUGAAGACUGCCCGGGGGGCUGACGUAGACCGAGCGGACGAGAGCUGGUAAAGGCUCCAGCCCUCGGAGGGCCCAGGCCAAGCUCAGCAGGGGUGUUUUCCUGGCCCCCAAGGAGCCUCGGCCCUGACAGACAUUGGGCCCUGGCCAGCUCGUUGAAGGGGGAGGAGGCAGGGAAGGGCCCGGGCUAUGCCAAUCUCUUCUCGAGAGGAAGCUGGCAGCCUGCUCCUCACUCCCCCUGCCCCCAUUAGGCGCCUGUCCUAGGCAAGAGGCCAGGGUCUAGGUGAGAUCCACCCCCUGUGGAAGGAGGCCAGGCACCAGGCUGCUUCCUCCUUCCUACUGAGGCCCCGGCCAGGUAGCCUUGCCUGUGGCUCCCCCAGCCUUGGAGCCAAGAAAUCCCUUCUCCCCACUUUUCCCUGUCCUUGCACCCACACUUGCUUCAAAGGGGAAGCCUUUUUUUUUUUUUUAAAGCUGCCCCCCCCCAAAGAGAAGACAAAAAGAAUCCUUGUCAGAUAUAUAGGGGCUCAUUCUUGAGAGACAUAACUGUGAGAGAAAUGAGUAUUUUCUAUCAUAUCAAUAAAUAAGCAAUUAAGAUGAA